rnacentral:sRNA from 1 species
GCCCCGAUCCGAACUGCCUAAAGUCCGGGCGAGUUCUCUCGACCCAAGCCACUAAGUGACUCGGCCCUAACCGUUUAUGAGGUUCUUUCCUAGUCUAAUCCGUUUCAUAUGAUUCCGAGAUUCAAUAUAUGAGACGAAUAGAGUAU